UUAAACUAUUAUAUAAAAGUUAAUUAAUUCAAUAUAAAUAAAAUAAAAUAUUAAAAAUAAGUUUGUAUAAAAAAAAUAAUUUUUAAUGGUGAAAUAUAAAAAAUUUAAAUUUAUAUAAUUAAAAAUAAUAUAAUUUUAAAGUUUAUAAAAUAAACUAGGAUUAGAUACCCUAUUAUAGUAAAAAAAUAAAAUUAAUAUUAAAAUAUUAAAUGUUAAAUCAUUAAAUUUAUAAGAUUUGGCGGUAUUUUAUACAAAUUAGGGGAACUUGUUUAGUAAUUGAUGAACCACGAUAAGAUUUACUUAAUUUAAUAUUUAUGUAUUGCUGUUUAAAAAUAUAUUUUAAGAAUAUACAUUAAAAUUUAAUAAUAUAAAAUAAUUCAAGUCAAAAUAUAGUUUAAUUAAGAUAAAAUGAGUUACAAAAAAAUAAAUUUAUAUGAAUUUUUAUAUUUAAAUAUAAAAUGAAGGUGGAUUUAAGAGUAAAUUUAAUAAAUAAAUUAAUUUGAAAUUUUGUUUUAAAAU
rnacentral:rRNA from 1 species